CUGUGGCCAGUGACGAACCGCAUGGCAGGAGCGGGGGAACCACUUUCUCCGGGCGUCGAGAGACGUCCUUGGGGUGAAGCCCUCCGUGGACCGCAACGGUCCGAGUGAAGGCCGGGCGAGUACCUCCAGCCCGAACCCGACAGCUCACCUCGUAGGCGUCGAGAGGUCAA
rnacentral:sRNA from 2 species